CGAACGAACUCUGGUAUUGAUUGGUGCUUGCAUCAUGAUUUACAUUUGAGUGAGUGGCGAACUGGUGAGUAACACGUGGGAAACCUGCCCCGAAGCGGGGGAUAACACCUGGAAACAGAUGCUAAUACCGCAUAACAACUUGGACCGCAUGGUCCGAGUUUGAAAGAUGGCUUCGGCUAUCACUUUUGGAUGGUCCCGCGGCGUAUUAGCUAGAUGGUGAGGUAACGGCUCACCAUGGCAAUGAUACGUAGCCGACCUGAGAGGGUAAUCGGCCACAUUGGGACUGAGACACGGCCCAAACUCCUACGGGAGGCAGCAGUAGGGAAUCUUCCACAAUGGACGAAAGUCUGAUGGAGCAACGCCGCGUGAGUGAAGAAGGGUUUCGGCUCGUAAAACUCUGUUGUUAAAGAAGAACAUAUCUGAGAGUAACUGUUCAGGUAUUGACGGUAUUUAACCAGAAAGCCACGGCUAACUACGUGCCAGCAGCCGCGGUAAUACGUAGGUGGCAAGCGUUGUCCGGAUUUAUUGGGCGUAAAGCGAGCGCAGGCGGUUUUUUAAGUCUGAUGUGAAAGCCUUCGGCUCAACCGAAGAAGUGCAUCGGAAACUGGGAAACUUGAGUGCAGAAGAGGACAGUGGAACUCCAUGUGUAGCGGUGAAAUGCGUAGAUAUAUGGAAGAACACCAGUGGCGAAGGCGGCUGUCUGGUCUGUAACUGACGCUGAGGCUCGAAAGUAUGGGUAGCAAACAGGAUUAGAUACCCUGGUAGUCCAUACCGUAAACGAUGAAUGCUAAGUGUUGGAGGGUUUCCGCCCUUCAGUGCUGCAGCUAACGCAUUAAGCAUUCCGCCUGGGGAGUACGGCCGCAAGGCUGAAACUCAAAGGAAUUGACGGGGGCCCGCACAAGCGGUGGAGCAUGUGGUUUAAUUCGAAGCUACGCGAAGAACCUUACCAGGUCUUGACAUACUAUGCAAAUCUAAGAGAUUAGACGUUCCCUUCGGGGACAUGGAUACAGGUGGUGCAUGGUUGUCGUCAGCUCGUGUCGUGAGAUGUUGGGUUAAGUCCCGCAACGAGCGCAACCCUUAUUAUCAGUUGCCAGCAUUAAGUUGGGCACUCUGGUGAGACUGCCGGUGACAAACCGGAGGAAGGUGGGGAUGACGUCAAAUCAUCAUGCCCCUUAUGACCUGGGCUACACACGUGCUACAAUGGAUGGUACAACGAGUUGCGAACUCGCGAGAGUAAGCUAAUCUCUUAAAGCCAUUCUCAGUUCGGAUUGUAGGCUGCAACUCGCCUACAUGAAGUCGGAAUCGCUAGUAAUCGCGGAUCAGCAUGCCGCGGUGAAUACGUUCCCGGGCCUUGUACACACCGCCCGUCACACCAUGAGAGUUUGUAACACCCAAAGUCGGUGGGGUAACCUUUUAGGAACCAGCCGCCUAAGUGGGACAGAUGAUUAGGGUGAGUCGUAACAAGGUAGCCGUAGGAGAACCUGCGCUGG
rnacentral:rRNA from 2 species